rnacentral:rRNA from 1 species
UACGAAGGGGGCUAGCGUUGUUCGGAUUUACUGGGCGUAAAGGGUGCGUAGGCGGAUUUUUAAGUCAGGGGUGAAAUCCCAAGGCUCAACCUUGGAACUGCCUUUGAUACUGGGGAUCUUGAGUCCGGGAGAGGUGAGUGGAACUGCGAGUGUAGAGGUGAAAUUCGUAGAUAUUCGCAAGAACACCAGUGGCGAAGGCGGCUCACUGGCCCGGAACUGACGCUGAGGCACGAAAGCGUGGGGAGCAAACAGGG